AAAAGCUCCCAGUGGAACGUGUUGGUGCCAACUUUGACCAUACCUGUCAGACAAGUGACAGCUGGCUCCCUUCCUUUGGGCGUGUAUGGAAUCAUGGCAGGAGGUGGCAGUCCCGGCAUCAGUUUAGAACUGAAUCAGGGGAAAAGAAG